UUUUUAAUGAUACCAAAGAUUCACUCUACGGAAUUCGUAAGAACUAGUGGGGAUAACAAUGGCCUGUUAAUAGAUCACGGAUAGUUAACGCAGCACUACUGUAUUUCGUAGAAAGCGUGCACGCGCGAACAGCUGUUAACAUUCACUUCUGUCACUGAAAGGUAGUUACGUUUUUUACACUUUCAACCGCGUGCAAGUUUACUCGUGACGGAUAGUAUGGUCGUAAUUAUCGCGGUCGUCCUCGUAAAUGUACGACAAUAACUAGCAAUAGACACUAGAGGCGCGAGGCGACCGACGAAAGUAAUGCGGCUGCGCCAUAUGUUGUCUACACUCAACUUCUCGAUCUCUUGAAGCGUCUCCAGUACGAUUUCAAAUCCACGCGCCCACGUUCACUAUUCGUUUGAAAUCUUACGAGGAGCAGUGGCGCCUGGGUAAAAUAUUGCGCGGACCAGCACCAAAUCUGGCAUGGCGGCGCGUGAUGCACUAAAAACUCGACGCGAGUCGCAAAACCAGUUGCGUAGUGGGGAGAGAAUCUUUGUUAUUCGACGAGGAGAAGUCAUCCUUUCGUAUUAGAUUUCCAUGGAGAUUCGAAUUACUCGCUGGAUCGAGAUACGUUGUUCCGUACAAUGACCUCGAGCAACGAUGUUUUUAAAUGUACGAACGAGAGAAUUCGCGUUUCACGAACGUUCGAGUCGAGCAACACGAUCGCCACCUGGUAGCUCCGUUUCCAAACAUACGUGCCGCGCAAGUGAAUUAUUACGAAACGAAUCGGUCUCGCUGUUCGUUCCUGUUCGAAUUUCGUAGGAAAUAAACAGAUAAGGAGCGAAUAAACGUUCUAGCACAUAAUUCGACUUUUUCGCAUAACCUUCAACUACAUUUACUGGCUAUGUUAAGGUUUAAUAGACAAAUUUUGUCGAAUAUAUAGAUGAAGUUUGUUAACUUCACCUGGUACGAGCCUGGCCUAUACACCUGACGUAUCACCAGGAAAGCCUAUUAACGUAACAUAACCACGAAGAUGUCAACAAUGCAUCGCGAGUUAACAACUAUUCCCACUCUUCGGUCGACGAAAAACCGCGACCGUUAUGGCGCCACAGAAAGACGCAUUUCGUGCGAUUAGCGUGUAAUAUCGUGUCCGCCAUUAUCAUAUUUCUGCCUCGCUUGAUUCAUAUCGAAUCACAGUUACACGGGGACAGUUUGGUCGUUAGCGGUUCUUUCCUAGAAGCCAGGCAUUAAUAUCCGCGGGGACGCCGCUAGACUUUACGACCGUACGCGGCACGCGAAUGGCUUUAUUUUCGUUAGAAACGCUGAUCGACGUUGUAUUCUGUUACGUGGUGUGUACGCCCACGCGAUCACGUAGUUAACACGGCUGUACACGUACGAGACGCCGGCGGCAGUGUAUUGGCCCCCGCAUUAGCAUACACCAAGGAGUGUACAGGAAAUGCCGAGGCUUCAUAUAGUAUUUUUUUCUGCAACUCUCAUAGAAGCCACGCUGCCGCCGCCGCGCCACGUAGAAAUUUAAUGCAAGCCAGCGUCGGAAACGGUGAACGUGGCUCCCCGCGGUUUCGCUGCAUGUUUACAGAGCUACCGCGCGUUUAAUGGCGCCCGGGACAAUUUUUCAAGCACCUAGAAACGGCUCCCGUGUGCUACGGACUUCACGUCGUGGAUGAUUAAUGUCAAGGAUAUUAUCAGCAGUUAUUUUCCGAAUCCUCGUAACUAUCGUAAUUUAGAUACGAGGCGAAUUACGUAUCAUUGUUAAAAGCAAUAUACAUGUUGUUUCUUUUCGCGAUACUGUGAAGAUACUAUGAUUAGAUGGUCGAUAUUAUUGUAAGCCAGGUAGGAGGUGAGGCGCACAGGAUUGGUAAAAGGAAUAUGUGUUCUUUUUCCGUAACGUUGUAAAAAGGACAUCUUAAUAUGUGAUUGUUGUGUGCUAUUAUAAUGUAUAUUUUAAAAUGGAAUUAUUAGAUAUUAUGUAUAAUUUUAUACUAGUUAAGAUGCCGAAUGUAGAUAUAUAAAAAUGCAUAUUGUCCUUGAAAA